UACAUGGGGUGCAAACGUUGCUCGGAAUUACUGGGCGUAAAGGGCGCGUAGGCGGGAUGGCAAGUCGGUCGUGAAAUCCCUCGGCUCAACCGAGGAACGUCGAUCGAUACUGCUGUUCUUGAGGAUUGCAGAGGAGACUGGAAUUCCCGGUGUAGCGGUGAAAUGUGUAGAGAUCGGGAGGAACACCGGUGGCGAAGGCGGGUCUCUGGGCAAUUCCUGACGCUGAGGCGCGAAAGCGUGGGGAGCAAACGGG
rnacentral:rRNA from 1 species